AACGAACGCUGGCGGCAGGCUUAAUACAUGCAAGUCGAGCGGGCACUUCGGUGUCAGCGGCGCACGGGUGCGUAACGCGUGGGAACAUGCCCUUAGGUACGGAACUACACAGGGAAACUUGUGCUAAUACCGUAUAAUAUCUCCGGAUCAAAGAUUUAUCGCCUAAGGAUUGGCCCGCGUUAGAUUAGUUAGUUGGUGUGGUAAUGGCCUACCAAGCCGACGAUCUAUAGCUGGUCUGAGAGGAUGAUCAGCCACACUGGAACUGAGACACGGUCCAGACUCCUACGGGAGGCAGCAGUAAGGAAUAUUGGACAAUGGGCGAAAGCCUGAUCCAGCCAUGCCGCGUGAGUGAUGAAGGCCUUAGGGUUGUAAAGCUCUUUUAGAUGGGAAGAUAAUGACUGUACCAUCAGAAUAAGCCCCGGCUAAAUUCGUGCCAGCAGCCGCCGUAA
rnacentral:rRNA from 1 species